ACACGUGGAUAAUCUGCCCUUAGGUGGAGGAUAACCUCGGGAAACUGAGAAUAAUACUCCAUAGGUUUAGGAUGCUGGAACGCGCCUAAACUCAAAGAUUUAUCGCCUAAGGAUGAGUCUGCGGACUAUCAGGUUGUAGUCAGGGUAAAGACCUGACUAGCCUACGACGGAUACGGGUUGUGAGAGCAAUAACCCGGAGAUGAUAUCUGAGACACGAUAUCGGGCCCUACGGGGCGCAGCAGGCGCGAAACCUUCACACUGUGCGAAAGCGCGAUGAGGGAAUCCCAAGUGCUUGCUCUUAGGAGUAAGCUGUUUUCCUGUUUAAAUUGCAGGAAGAGGAAGGGCUGGGUAAGACGGGUGCCAGCCGCCGCGGUAAUACCUGCAGCUCAAGUGGUGACCGCUAUUAUUGGGCCUAAAACGUCCGUAGCCGGCUGAGUAAAUGCCUGGGUAAAUCGUGUCGCUUAGCGAUACGGACUCCGGGUAGACUGCUUGGCUUGAGACUGGGAUAAGCUAGAGGUACUCCUGGGGUAGAGGUGAAAUUCUGUAAUCCUGGGGGGACCA
rnacentral:rRNA from 1 species